rnacentral:tmRNA from 1 species
GGGGGCGACCGGCUUCGACGUGGGGACGGAGAUUGCAAUUGCGUGUGGCGGCUCCCGAUCCGCCUUACAAAGCGGGACGUUAUAAGUGCGAACGACAACGACACCUUUGCUCUCGCGGCUUAAUCACCGCUGAGCAACGUCCGGAGGCCAGAUCGUCCUGGUAGCCCGAGGGCGUCAUCACUAGGGCUGGGUCGCGCGAGGGAGCUCUCGAUAGCGCGGCUGAGAUUGCGAGAGAUAGGUCGCAGCCGAAUCUGCGAGCUCAGUCGCCGGGGAUACGGCGACUACACACGUGAAUGAAGUUGCAGUUGACGCCUCGCGGACCAGGGUUCGAUUCCCUGCGCCUCCACCA